ACCCGAUACAAUACUUACGUACACUUCACAUUUUUCUCUAGUUUUCUUAGAAUUUCAACUUUUAAAACGUAUACAAAAUAAGAAUUCUAGCAUUAUAGAAGUUCCGAAUGCAACUUAGCUAAGAUAUAUAGAACUACUUCACCGGUUGUGAAGAGGGUCCGAUGCAUUUGGCACCCUCCUUUUGCUUGAGAAGAAUACAUCCAGAGAGUGUUUUGUACUUUGCCCAUCUUCCUUUUGCUCCUUUUCUUGCAUUGUUGAUGCUGAGUUUGCCCUUGAAAUGACCACAGUAUUAUUAUUCUCCUCUCCAGAAACUAACAUUAAAAGGAAGAAGAAAACCAGUAAUUUCUUAGACAGCCCAACAACUUUCAAAUGCUGCUGAUGAAUUUGCAUAUCUUUUUCUCUACAAAAAGAGAUCGAAGUGUAAAGGAAAGAAACAACUUUCUAUUUGUGCAGAUUUUG
rnacentral:lncRNA from 1 species